rnacentral:SRP_RNA from 2 species
GCCGGGCGUGGUGGUAUACGCCUGUAAUCCCAGCUACUCGGGAGGCUGAGGCAGGAGAAUUGCUUGAACCCAGGAGGUAAAGGUUGCAGUGAGCUGAAAUCACGCCACUGCACUCCAGCCUGGGUGAUAAAGCAAGACUCUGUCUCAA